UGGGAGACCCUGGGGUAUCUCUCCCACCUAAAACAACACCAAAAUUCUCAUUUGGCUCCAGCUAUGAUUUACUUAAUUUGUAAUUGAAAAUUACACAGAUAAACAAAUGAACAGUAAUGCAGGGAGUUGAAAGAAACAUUUGGCAAUAACAGGUUUCCUUCUGUUAAUUAGAUUCUACAAACUGUCGAAAUUCCAAAAUGCUGGGAAGGCUAGCAUCAUAAACCAACACCAAUUAUUGCAGAAUGGCGCAAAGAAACAAAAAUUUAGAAAUUAGAUACAGAAAUAGCAAGAGUUACACCUUUGUUAUAGAGACUAAUGAGUUUAUCUCACUUAGCUAGGCUGUGAAGAAGCAUGCAACAGAAGUAAAAUUAAGGAAGAAUUCACUGACCAAGGAAGCAAACAGUUGAUUAAUCAAUUUGGGAAACAGAAAGUGGACUUCUACCAAAUAUAGGCAAAAUUAACAGUUGGAUGAUUAGUUUAGUUGAUUUGCCCAGUAUUUGCAAAUGACAAGUUUAAUGAGAGCAAAUGAUGAUUCCGAUUUUUAGGCACAUGAUUGCCAUAUUUAGAAAGACAGACAAGUUAUACAUUGCUUCUACUGCUAUGCUGCCAUAUUCUGAUUGAAUGAACAUUUGAAAGUUUUAAUAGAGAAUGUAGACUUUCCUUUUUCAUAAAAUUGACAAAGAAUUUCAUGGAAUGAAAUCUCAAAUAAGAAAGAAAUAGCUUAUGAUUAGCAAUUGCAUCAUCCUUACCAAAGAAAUAGAAGAUGGGUG
rnacentral:misc_RNA from 1 species